rnacentral:lncRNA from 1 species
CACAAAAGGCAGACUGUGGGCGAUCAGACACUGCCUCACCUCAGCCAUAUCCUUGUGCCACGUCUACUACCAUUUGUCUAAUGUUUUUCUGUCAAUUGACCAGAUAUUUUUGUUGAAAACUUUUUAUUUAAAGAGGAAACUUCGUAUCAAGACUAUAAACAGAAAAGCAGCACCAGUUUGCUAUACCCAGAGGCCUCGGUGGAAAGAGGUUUCCUGUCCAGAGCUGCAGGCAGGCGCUGAGGCUGGAGCCCAAGCCAAAAGCGCUGCUCCAGGCUUUUCCACGAUGCUGAGUCCAAACCGCCUCAGCCGUCUUCACUCAGGGCAGCGCUCCCUCCAGUGAGGAGCCGUCCACACCGGCAGCCAUGCCCGGACUCGCUUAGGAAGAGCAGAGCGGCAGAGAGAAGGGGCUGGCUGCCCGGCUGGCUGAACCUAGCCCACCCAGGUUUCACCUACGCUGCUGAGCAAAGGGUCGAAGAACAGCUAAUUAAAAGCACCACUUCUCACGCUGGAGAAAAUAC